rnacentral:lncRNA from 1 species
CUCGGCUCCGGUGACAGAGUACGCAUGUCCUUUCACCAACUUCUGGUACGUAACGGCCUCAGAAUCUGCAGCGCUGGUGAUCUGCAAACACAAGGACAGUAGGUGGCAGCUGCUCCAUCCCGGAUACAAAUGGCCCAGAAAGAUGCACAUGGCACCCGGGCCUAGUCUGGAAAACUCUGCGCAUCCAUCCUGCCACCUGGAGGAGCAACUUUUAGUUGCUGAUCACCAGGGAGCAAGUUGGCGCAUGCCCCCCCUCCCCCCAGAUGAGUCACCUUCUAGACAAGGGUCUGUGGGAGGCCUAAUGACAGACACCCAAGUGGCAACUGUAGCCAAGAUGCUGUGAUUCUGCAACCCCUACUCCGCCCAACUAAGUUGCACUGACAGCGACUUUUUAACUUCAGAAUCCAUGUAUUGGGUUGCCAACUCCUUAAAGGCCCUCCUUUCCCAUCCUUUGGGCACAGCUUGGGGAAACUCCUGGGGCCUGGACCAGCCUCACUUUCCAUCUCCCUGGUGAGGUUUGUUUGCCUGCAAAGCUAUUUUGAAGAAGCAGAUCCUUCUGGUACUCCCUGGCGUCUUCUCCAGGACCCACCAGCACUGGGACAGAGUGAGGAGAGGUUGCAGGGCUGCUCAAACAACCCUGCAGGUGCCGGACAAGGUGUCAAGACCAGCAGAAGGGGGGUGGGGGGCUUUUUGUGACCUGCGGUCUGUGAGUGGAGUGAUACAACACAGUUAGAAUGGAAAGUGGGAUGGGGAUGAAGGUCUGGUGGCACUGUUACUGUAUCAAUGGCGCCCCUAGAGGACUAUUGCCUGGUGACCCUGGGCAAGGGAUGCACCCAUGCCUUAAGGAGCUUCUGGGUGGCGGCGGACUUGAGUGCUUGCGGAGGGUGAUGGAGACUUACAUCGAUAGAGCAGCCAAGCAGAGAACCUUUCUCCAAAGCCUUCUGGAUGAUCUUGAACAAGUUGGGAGGAGGCUUCCUCAGCUCAUACCACUCAGCAAUGCCUCCUGUGAAGUCUUCAAAGCCUUCCGUGGUGGCACCCCCUGAGAGUGCUUCAUAGCACCCAUUGAUCCUGAAGGGGGAAUUCAUGCUGCAACAGGGAGCCUUCAUCCCUGAAAAUGCCUCCCCACUCCAACUUAGAUCCCCACUUGGGAGCUCAUGGGGUCCUCUGCUUUUAUCUUCCUUGUCUUUGUCUCCAACUCGGGGUGCCCAGGAAGGCAAGGAGCGAUCCCUCUAGUUAUUUUCCUCUGUGGCUACAACAUGCUUUAGAAUUUGUACCAAACCAGGAAGGGUUUAGUGAUGUUCUGGGAUGACUUAAUGCUGCUCUGAUCCAGCCUCUGGCGUUGACUCUAGCCCUGACACAGAGGUUGGCUGGAGACACUUCAGAAAUGAACCCAGUUUCCCAAAAAGCACACAGCAGGUUCCUGUGGUCAUGCCCUGAGCUCUAUGCCCCAAGUUCUCUUGGUUAAGAACAUGAAGCCCCCCUGCCCCAGUGUCUGGCCUGGGGUUGUAGAGAUCCUAAACCCACUAGCUCCAUCUUAAUGCAGUGAGUGCAUCAGCACCAGCACCAGCACCAGCACCAGCACCAGCACCAGCACCUGAGGCUCCCGCUGCAGAGGGCUGACAUCCGGGGUGGACCCAGCACAACUUUGGGCCAGCUGGGUGAUACACAGCUAGGAUUAGAACCAAGAAGCCAUUCUUACCAGCCACCUGAUUUAUUCUGGCAUCCUUUGCAGAACAGAACUGAUCUCCAGAGCUUUCAAACUACCAGAGACUGGGGAGUGUAGGAGCAAGCCAAGCCCAGAGGCAUCUGCUGAGCCCCUGAGCCAGGGCAAGGAAGUGCCUCAGCCAAGUAUAAAGUUACCUGGAAGUGGAAGAUGCCUGCAUAGUUUUCCUGGAAGCUCUGAUCUGGAGGCACAACCCGAGCCAGGAUUUCCUCAUUCAAGGUGAGGGAGGCGAUGGCAGCCAGCAGCCAGCAGUCCCCUGAGAACACAAAGCCACACAGAGCUCUGGUCAGGUCUUAGUUCCCAGAGGAUGUGAAGUCUUGUUCCUGCAGCUGGGUGCUUGGAACCCAACGUUACCCUGGAGUAGAUGGAGUGGUGUUUCAGACAGUCCCUCAACUAAGGGACAGGUCACCCGGUCUGAUGGAUAUUUUUAUGGACACGCUACAGGAGAAAUGCCGUGUUGGGUGGAUGGCUGCAUACAAGAGAGGUUCGUUCUCUGAGAAACUCAGAACUCUCGUGGCGGCUCAACUGUGUCCUUGGAGCCCAGCUCUGUGCCUGAUACACAGGAGCUAUGCCCGUCUAUGGACGGACUGAACUUGACGGGCAACAGAGGCUUCAAUGAAAAGAGGUUUUCUAGCGGAGUUUGAAUGAGAGGAAGAAAAUACAGCAAUAGACGGGGAGGAGCUGAACACAAGGAAGGAGAUGCCGGGGCACAGGGGGCGGGGGUGGAAUCCAGGGGAAGGGAGGAAGGCAGUGCGAUCACAGGAGUGUACAACAAAGGCAGACAGAACAGCCAUGAGCUGAUCUGCAUGAGCUCCAGCUGACUGAGGUUUCCCUGGGGUAGAGGCAGAGCUCACUUCUGGGAUGUGGUCAGGGAAGGGACUGGGCGGGGACAGGGACAGGGACAACCAGAUGAGGCUCUCUGAUCCUCAGGCCAGGUCUUUGUGAAGGAAGAUGUAUGUCUAAAGCAUGCAGUCCCCAUUGGUGCCCACAGCAGGAGCUUCGUGUAGGACGCACCAUGGUCAUCCUGCAGUUACAAAUAACCUGGUCCAGCACCGGCUCCAGGCACUUUGCAGACUGGGACUUGUUGAGCACAAAAACAAAAGAACAAAACCCAAAACCAACAAUAAAGGGGAACUAGAGAGAUGGCUCAGCGGUUAAGAGCACUGACUGUUCUUCCAAAGGUCCAGAGUUCAAAUCCCAGCAACCACAUGGUGGCUCACAACCAUCUGUAAUGAGAUCUGACACCUUCUUCUGGUGCUGCCUGAAGACAGCUACAGUGUACUUAGAUAUAAUAAUAAAUAAAUCUUUAGGCCAGGGCC